UACGUAGGGACCAAGCGUUGUUCGGAUUUACUGGGCGUAAAGGGCGCGUAGGCGGCCCUACAAGUCACUUGUGAAAUCUCCGGGCUUAACUCGGAACGGCCAAGUGAAACUGUAGAGCUAGAGUGUGGAAGGGGCAAUCGGAAUUCUUGGUGUAGCGGUGAAAUGCGUAGAUAUCGGGAGGAACACCAGUGGCGAAGGCGGCUUCCUGGCCUGUUCUUGACGCUGAGGCGCGAAAGCUAGGGGAGCAAACGGG
rnacentral:rRNA from 1 species